UGGGGAAUAUUGGACAAUGGGCGCAAGCCUGAUCCAGCCAUGCCGCGUGAACGAUGAAGGCCUUAGGGUUGUAAAGUUCUUUUGUCAGGGAAGAUAAUGACGGUACCUGAAGAAUAAGCACCGGCUAACUUCGUGCCAGCAGCCGCGGUAAUACGAAGGGUGCUAGCGUUGUUCGGAAUCACUGGGCGUAAAGCGCGCGUAGGCGGCGAUAUAAGUCAGAGGUGAAAGCCUGGAGCUCAACUCCAGAACUGCCUUUGAAACUAUAUUGCUAGAGUGUCGGAGGGGAUAGCGGAAUUGCUAAUGUAGAGGUGAAAUUCGUAGAUAUUAGCAGGAACACCGGUGGCGAAGGCGGCUAUCUGGACGACAACUGACGCUGAGGCGCGAAAGCGUGGGGAUCAAACAGGAUUAGAUACCCUAGUAGUCCCUGAGCGGGCUGGCAAGGCGCAU
rnacentral:rRNA from 1 species